rnacentral:rRNA from 1 species
AUGAGGGACACGGAGAGGAGCCCGGUGUCACAGUUGUCCGACGACCUCCUGGUCGAGGUCAUCUCGCGCGUGCCCUACAAAUCCACCCGCUGCUGCAAGUGUGUCUCCCGGCGGUGGCGCGACCUCGUCUCCCACCCCGACCACCGCAAGAAGCUGCCCCGGUCGACCCUCGCCGGCAUCUUCUACCAAACCUUCAGAGGGGAACGCUUCCCAGCUACGCUUUGCGGUUACCAAAGCGUUUCAGGGAACUGGUGCACUGGCAUGGACUGCUCCCUCUCGUUCCUGCCCAAGUGCAAGAGAGUUAACAUGUACCUGCUGGACAGCUGUAAUGGCCUCCUGCUCUGCCUUUGCUGGAACCAACCUUCUGAUGUCAAUGGAUUUGGUUACGUGGUGUGCAAUCCCGCUACUGAGAAAUGGGUGGCCCUACCUGCCACCACCUGGUCCAGCAAGGUGCGGACUGCCCGCCUAGGGUUCGACCCCUCUGUCUCCUCCCACUUCCAUGUGUUCGAGUUUGUUUCUACUACUGGUGUUGUGGAUGUGAAUAUGCAGGGUCUUGAUACAGGCAAGAAAACAGUGGGGGUCUACUAUUCCAAAACUGGAGUUUGGACACAUGGAGUUGUCUGGGACACUCCGCUU